rnacentral:tRNA from 1 species
GCAGGGGUGGUUCAGUGGUAGAAUUCUUGUCUUCCAUAUCAGAGACCUGGGUUCAAUGCCCAGCCAAUGCU